GUAUCUGAAGCCUGACGAGGAUGAGAACCUCCGGGGGCAAGAGGUUCGACUCGAGCGAAGCGAGAGAACGUUGCGUCAGCAACGGCCCGCAGUGGCAAGUUAUCCUCUGUCACCGGCAG
rnacentral:sRNA from 1 species